ACAUUCAAAUGAUGAAGAUCUGAUGUCUUAUGUUAUAGCUGGUUUAGAUGAUGAUUUUGAACCUGAUGAAUCAUCUCUUGUUGGGAGGACGGAACCUAUACCAUUCUCUGAAUGUUACUCACAACUUUUGAGAUUUGAAU
rfam:Leersia perrieri chromosome 5, whole genome shotgun sequence.